rnacentral:miRNA from 12 species
UCACCUGGCAUCUUGCUGUCGUC